GCCCCGUACACAAAAAUGCACAUACUGUGAGCUCGAUGAGUAGGGCGGGACACGUGGUAUCCUGUCUGAAUAUGGGGGGACCAUCCUCCAAGGCUAAAUACUCCUGACUGACCGAUAGUGAACCAGUACCGUGAGGGAAAGGCGAAAAGAACCCCGGCGAGGGGAGUGAAAAAGAACCUGAAACCGUGUACGUACAAGCAGUGGGAGCACGCUUAGGCGUGUGACUGCGUACCUUUUGUAUAAUGGGUCAGCGACUUAUAUUCUGUAGCAAGGUUAACCGAAUAGGGGAGCCGAAGGGAAACCGAGUCUUAACUGGGCGUUAAGUUGCAGGGUAUAGACCCGAAACCCGGUGAUCUAGCCAUGGGCAGGUUGAAGGUUGGGUAACACUAACUGGAGGACCGAACCGACUAAUGUUGAAAAAUUAGCGGAUGACUUGUGGCUGGGGGUGAAAGGCCAAUCAAACCGGGAGAUAGCUGGUUCUCCCCGAAAGCUAUUUAGGUAGCGCCUCGUGAAUUCAUCUCCGGGGGUAGAGCACUGUUUCGGCAAGGGGGUCAUCCCGACUUACCAACCCGAUGCAAACUGCGAAUACCGGAGAAUGUUAUCACGGGAGACACACGGCGGGUGCUAACGUCCGUCGUGAAGAGGGAAACAACCCAGACCGCCAGCUAAGGUCCCAAAGUCAUGGUUAAGUGGGAAACGAUGUGGGAAGGCCCAGACAGCCAGGAUGUUGGCUUAGAAGCAGCCAUCAUUUAAAGAAAGCGUAAUAGCUCACUGGUCGAGUCGGCCUGCGCGGAAGAUGUAACGGGGCUAAACCAUGCACCGAAGCUGCGGCAGCGACGCUGAUGCGUUGUUGGGUAGGGGAGCGUUCUGUAAGCCUGUGAAGGUGUGCUGUGAGGCAUGCUGGAGGUAUCAGAAGUGCGAAUGCUGACAUAAGUAACGAUAAAGCGGGUGAAAAGCCCGCUCGCCGGAAGACCAAGGGUUCCUGUCCAACGUUAAUCGGGGCAGGGUGAGUCGACCCCUAAGGCGAGGCCGAAAGGCGUAGUCGAUGGGAAACAGGUUAAUAUUCCUGUACUUGGUGUUACUGCGAAGGGGGGACGGAGAAGGCUAUGUUGGCCGGGCGACGGUUGUCCCGGUUUAAGCGUGUAGGCUGGUUUUCCAGGCAAAUCCGGAAAAUCAAGGCUGAGGCGUGAUGACGAGGCACUACGGUGCUGAAGCAACAAAUGCCCUGCUUCCAGGAAAAGCCUCUAAGCAUCAGGUAACAUCAAAUCGUACCCCAAACCGACACAGGUGGUCAGGUAGAGAAUACCAAGGCGCUUGAGAGAACUCGGGUGAAGGAACUAGGCAAAAUGGUGCCGUAACUUCGGGAGAAGGCACGCUGAUAUGUAGGUGAAGCGACUUGCUCGUGGAGCUGAAAUCAGUCGAAGAUACCAGCUGGCUGCAACUGUUUAUUAAAAACACAGCACUGUGCAAACACGAAAGUGGACGUAUACGGUGUGACGCCUGCCCGGUGCCGGAAGGUUAAUUGAUGGGGUCAGCGCAAGCGAAGCUCUUGAUCGAAGCCCCGGUAAACGGCGGCCGUAACUAUAACGGUCCUAAGGUAGCGAAAUUCCUUGUCGGGUAAGUUCCGACCUGCACGAAUGGCGUAAUGAUGGCCAGGCUGUCUCCACCCGAGACUCAGUGAAAUUGAACUCGCUGUGAAGAUGCAGUGUACCCGCGGCAAGACGGAAAGACCCCGUGAACCUUUACUAUAGCUUGACACUGAACAUUGAGCCUUGAUGUGUAGGAUAGGUGGGAGGCUUUGAAGUGUGGACGCCAGUCUGCAUGGAGCCGGCCUUGAAAUACCACCCUUUAAUGUUUGAUGUUCUAACGUUGACCCGUGAUCCGGGUUGCGGACAGUGUCUGGUGGGUAGUUUGACUGGGGCGGUCUCCUCCUAAAGAGUAACGGAGGAGCACGAAGGUUGGCUAAUCCUGGUCGGACAUCAGGAGGUUAGUGCAAUGGCAUAAGCCAGCUUGACUGCGAGCGUGACGGCGCGAGCAGGUGCGAAAGCAGGUCAUAGUGAUCCGGUGGUUCUGAAUGGAAGGGCCAUCGCUCAACGGAUAAAAGGUACUCCGGGGAUAACAGGCUGAUACCGCCCAAGAGUUCAUAUCGACGGCGGUGUUUGGCACCUCGAUGUCGGCUCAUCACAUCCUGGGGCUGAAGUAGGUCCCAAGGGUAUGGCUGUUCGCCAUUUAAAGUGGUACGCGAGCUGGGUUUAGAACGUCGUGAGACAGUUCGGUCCCUAUCUGCCGUGGGCGCUGGAGAACUGAGGGGGGCUGCUCCUAGUACGAGAGGACCGGAGUGGACGCAUCACUGGUGUUCGGGUUGUCAUGCCAAUGGCACUGCCCGGUAGCUAAAUGCGGAAGAGAUAAGUGCUGAAAGCAUCUAAGCACGAAACUUGCCCCGAGAUGAGUUCUCCCUGACUCCUUGAGAGUCCUGAAGGAACGUUGAAGACGACGACGUUGAUAGGCCGGGUGUGUAAGCGCAGCGAUGCGUUGAGCUAACCGGUACUAAUGAACCGUGAG
rnacentral:rRNA from 1 species